CUUUUGUUAUUCGCUGUUCAACUAUCAAGCCAUAUUCUGGCCCAACACAAAAACGAAAUUGACGAGAGGAGGAGGAUGACCGGAAGUUGUGAAUGGAUCCAAGCUCAGUUGGGUCCGAUCGAGGAAGAAACCCGACGACUCUCCACCAUCUGCGAGAGGCGAACCCACAGCGGAGCUUCUCUUCCUCGGUAGGGAGACAGAGAAGACAGAGGAAGAGGACGACGGCGGUGAAGAUACAGGAGCGACGGUGGUUUGUUCGUCUAGUGUGGAUUAUUCACGUCUGCUUUUGUUUGCAACCUGAUAAAGAAGAUGAACCUGAGCUAGAGACUAGUGGAAAGGAUGACAAGGGGGAAAAGUCGGCUCUUCCUUUGUUUGAAACAUAUAAGGAGGAUGUUUAUGACAGAAUUAUGGAAGGAAGAUACAAACCUGGUUCUGGGUUUGUUAGAUAUGCAGCUGAUGAUGUUAAAAGCUCCAUCGAGAUGGAUGCUCUUGUUCCUACUGCCUAUGAUCCUCCAAUAUGGAAAACAAAGUGUGUGGUAUGUUACUAUUGCUUAUCUGAUUGUAAGUAGUCCCAUGCUUUAAUGUCUAAUACAAAUUAUUUCCUAAGAUUACAUCAGUACUAACAUGAGUUACUGCUUGUGCUUUUAGAAGAGAUUCCAUCUACAGUUGCUACUGAUCCUGCAACCAAACUCUGUUUUGUCUCUGUUGUCUUUCUCUUAGGCCUUGUCUCAUCGUUUUUUGACUUGCAGGGAGUUGCAGCAGACAAUCUUACCAAACAGAAACUGAACUCGAAGAUACUUGAGUAGGAGCAGAAACAUUGUUGCAUCUCAUAUCAUCACGCAUCGAGGACCACUGGAGUUUAGUAAUCUCUCAGCUUCAGGAGCUGUGUCUAGUUGUUUCGUAUGAGGGGCUAUAUGAUAUCAUUGCUAUUUCAGGUUCUUUCUUGAAUACAAAGAGUAAUAGUUACUAGAUCAAAAGUCCAGGCUACUCCAUUUCUCUAACCUUUUAUAGUUGAGUUACUUCAUAGAGUCUUCAAGAUACUGAAUUUGGUUCGGGUGAUUUUAUGUAGGUCAUUGUUGGAAGCUUUGUAUUAGAGAAACUGAAACUGAGCGCAUGGUGUUGAGAGUAACCCCAAGCCAGGUUAAGCUUCACCAUCUGCCAAGAAGAAAAAGAAGAAUAAGAAGAAUUUAAUAAUUGUUUAGGUUUUUAUGGUUUUCCUUAGGUUUUCUUAGUUUUGGUUUAGUUUUGUAAACUGGAAGUUAUUUGUAAACCAAUUUUUAAUUUAUAAAUAAAAUUUAUUUA